AUGAACGCUGGCGGCGUGUCUAAGGCAUGCAAGUCGAGCGAGUUCGUUUUGGUAGCAAUACCGAGACGAGCUAGCGGCAAACGGGUGCGUAACACAUUGGCAAUCUGCCUCACAGUCGGGCAUAACUCCGCGAAAGCGGAGCUAAUUCCACGAUGGGCUCCGGUUUUCACUAGACGACCGGAGUAAAGUCGCAAGACGCUGUGAGAGGAGCCUAUGGCCUAUCAGCUAGUUGGCGGGGUAAUAGCCCACCAAGGCGAUGACGGGUAGGGGAUGUGAGAGCAUGAUCCCCCUCACUGGAACUGAGACACUGUCCAGACACCUACGGGUGGCUGCAGUCGAGAAUAUUCCCCAAUGGCCGAAAGGCUGAGGGAGCGACGCCGCGUGCAGGAUGAAGGGCUUCGGCUCGUAAACUGCUUUUUUCAGGGACGAACACUGACGGUACCUGAAGAAUAAGAGGUUGCUAACUCUGU
rnacentral:rRNA from 1 species